rnacentral:rRNA from 1 species
GAUGAACGCUGGCGGCGUGCCUAAUACAUGCAAGUCGAGCGAACAGACGAGGAGCUUGCUCCUCUGACGUUAGCGGCGGACGGGUGAGUAACACGUGGAUAACCUACCUAUAAGACUGGGAUAACUUCGGGAAACCGGAGCUAAUACCGGAUAAUAUAUUGAACCGCAUGGUUCAAUAGUGAAAGACGGUUUUGCUGGCACUUAUAGAUGGUUCCGCGCCGCAUUAGCUAGUUGGUAAGGUAACGGCUUACCAAGGCAACGAUGCGUAGCCGACCUGAGAGGGUGAUCGGCCACACUGGAGCUGAGACACGGUCCAGACUCCUACGGGAGGCAGCAGUAGGGAAUCUUCCGCAGUGGGCGAAAGCCUGACGGAGCAACGCCGCGUGAGUGAUGAAGGUCUUCGGAUCGUAAAGCUCUGUUAUUAGGGAAGAACAAAUGUGUAAGUAACUGUGCACGUCUUGACGGUACCUAAUCAGAAAGCCACGGCUAACUACGUG